GUUGCACCCCAAAAGCCACGCGAAAGUAGGAGGGUCUAGAUUUAUUUUCUAGGGACAGAUCAUAAUUUUGUUAAUAUGGGUUCUGAAAGAUAAGCCUAAAUAGGGUUCUUCCUGGUAGGUAUGGUUUUUUAAGUCUCGCUUGAGUUCUUUUUCUAGAAUGUUGAAGUUAACCACACUUUUUUUCAUGCACCCCAAAAACAACAUUGACAAAAUUGGCUUUAAAAUCUAAACUAUUUGGAAUUAAGACCUGAUUUUUUGUAGAAGAUAGUUAUAAUAAAUUAGUCUUAGGAUGAUUGUAUCAUUGCUAACUUAAAUUUUUAGGAUGUACUUCAAUGUACCACAAAAACCACAUCAUGUGCACCCCAAAAACCACGUUGGUUAUUUGAAUAUUUUAGAAAAUAUAUAAAAUAAUUCAAUAAAAAAAUUUUAGGAUGUACUCUAAGAUAGUAGCUCUUUGUCAUCAAAAAAAAAAAAAAAAAAAAGUUAAUGUAUUGUGGAAAUACUACCAUUGAACUAUGUUAUGUUUUUUGUUGUUUUAGAAUUUUGUUUAAUAUAAUAUUAUAAAGUAAAAUGAAACCAUCAUCUGCAUUACAUCUACGUAUAAACAAAUCAAGAAAUCUCAGUACUAAAGCUGAUGCCAUAGUGGCCAGAAAACACACAAAUGAUAAAAAUAAACAGUUAGAAGCUGCAAUAAAUUGGUGCAAAAAAUUUAAUGGAAACGGACAAGCAGCAUUAAAGACAGGUUUGUUUCCCCUUAUUAAAGAUAGAGAGACAAUCAACAGGCGAUUAGAUGGAAAAGUGAUUAAUGGAAAAGAAAGAGAUUAUUGUACUAUACUUACAGAUGAUGAAGAAGCAUCUAUUGUGCGUUUUAUAAAAAAUAAGAACAGAUGUUUACAGGCAAUUAACAAACAGGACAUAACCAAAUUAAUUAUUAAUGUGCUUCGUGUGAGAGAUUACACUAAUACAAAAAUGAAAGGUGGACGGAAGUUUCAAUAGUUAUCAUUAAAUGCUUGAGCUGCUCUAGAAAAGGGAAAAUUGAGUCGAUCAUUUUGGCUUCGUUUUAAUGCUAAACAUAGCAGCCUUACAAUCAAACGCCAAGGGAGUGUCUCGAUAAACCGUGCACUUAAUUGUUCAAGAGAAAUGGCAUGUAAUCAUUUAGAUUCCCUUGCUAAAGAACUAGUAGAUGUUGGUAUUAUGAUAAAU